CAUCAGCGCCCGGUCUGUGUACGACAGUCUUGCCUUCUCAUUUAUGAACUCCUUAUCAAAGUUGCUGCAGUCACUCGGAGAGUUCUGCAAAUGAAUGAAUGAAUUGGGAAAUAGGUUAAAAUGCACUGUAAGGCAAAAGGUCGAAAGGGCGGCUCCACCUGUCGGUUCUCGAGCGCAGUCCAGUCAAUGUCCCGGAAGAAAGAGUGGUGCCGAAUGUUCCCUCUCACGCCCAGUCUCUUUUUCGGCUCCCGGACAAAUAGCUGCAACCAAUAACAGCGCAGCUGUGGGUGAUUCGGCAAAUCGCACUGCUUUCUAAAAAUGCAGCGCUUCAUUCCAAACUUGGUAGAACAAGAAUGGUUGCGGAUAUGCGUAUGAUGUGAAACGGCGCCUAGAACGCCGUAACGUGGAAAUGUCGGUAGGUGUGUAAGUGGGCCUGGGAGCAUGCAUGCGCUCACCUUGACCAGGAUAUCGCGGGCAUCCCGCUGCAGCCAAUGGGGAUAGUAGGGACUGUCGGUGCGGAUGGACUGGAAUAGCCUCUUCUCAUCGUGGCCGUGGAAGGGAGACUGGCCAAUCAGCAUCUCGUACAGCAGAACCCCGAACGACCACCAGUCCACAGAGCUCCCGUACUUCUGGCCCAGCAGGAUCUAUAGCAAAGUCCGUAUCAUUCUUCAAUGAUGUCACUUCCUCCUCAUACUGUAUCAUGUCAUCAUCGUAAAGGCAAGAAAUUCAUCAAAAUAAAUACUGCAACUUGUGCAGUUAUUUUUAUUCCGCAGCUGAUAUUCAUUAACAGACUUUCUGUUUUCUGCCAUAGUACCUGUCCAAAAUCCUGUAAAAUUUUAUCUGUAGAAUUUGCUUCUAAAAGAGAUAUUGCUGAAUUAAUCAAGCCAAAUGAAUAAUGUUGUGAAUAAUGAGUUUGGCCCCUGCUUGAUGUUACAUUGUAAAAUUAAACUGUUAAGUUUAAAGUCUGAUUAUAGUCUAUAUUUUACGUUUUGUUGAGUUAAACGAAUGGCAAUGCUGGAA